ACAAUAAGGGGCCAUCCAUAAAGUACGUCACACGAAUUUCAUGAUUUUUUGACCCCCCCUCCGUCCUUGUCACAGGUGUGUGACGUCACAUGUUUUGCAAUUUCACAUCGAAAAAUUAUUAAAUUAACAGCAGUUCCGAAAUUAGUUUUAUUUCCAUUUAAAUUAAGUACAUUUUUUUAU